CACGUAGGGGCCAAGCGUUGUCCGGAUUCAUUGGGCGUAAAGAGCUCGUAGGCGGUUCAGUUAGUCGGGUGUGAAAUCUCCGGGCUCAACCCGGAGGGGCCACCCGAUACUGCUGUGACUUGAGUCCGGUAGGGGGAGUGGGGAAUUCCUGGUGUAGCGGUGAAAUGCGCAGAUAUCAGGAGGAACACCAAUUGCGAAGGCAGCACUCUGGGGACGUGACUGACGCUGAGACGCGGAAAAGCGUGGGGGAG
rnacentral:rRNA from 1 species